UGCAAGUCGAACGGAGUGCCUUAGAUUGAGACUUCGGUCAAUAUCUUUGGUUACUUAGUGGCGGACGGGUGAGUAACACGUGAGUAACCUGCCCUUGAGAGGGGAAUAACACACCGAAAGGUGUGCUAAUACCGCAUAACAUAUUGAAAUCGCAUGGUUUAAUCGUGAAAGAUGGCCUCUACAUGUAAGCUAUCGCCAAAGGAUGGGCCUGCGUCUGAUUAGCUAGUUGGUGGGGUAACGGCUCACCAAGGCGACGAUCAGUAGCCGGUCUGAGAGGAUGAACGGCCACAUUGGGACUGAGACACGGCCCAGACUCCUACGGGAGGCAGCAGUGGGGAAUCUUCCGCAAUGGACGAAAGUCUGACGGAGCAAUGCCGCGUGAGUGAUGAAGGUUUUCGGACCGUAAAGCUCUUUUGUUUAUGACGAAUGUGCAUGAUGUGAACAAUGUUGUGUAAUGACGGUAGUAAACGAAUAAGCCACGGCUAACUACGUG
rnacentral:rRNA from 1 species